rnacentral:lncRNA from 1 species
UACCACAGAAAUUAAAAAUCGCGUAUCGCAGUGCGGGCGAUCUUUGCAGUUAGAUGAUCACCCAUACUUGCUAUUAAAUCAUAGUAUUAUUUUAUAUAAAUUAUUAUUUUAUCUGUUGGGAGAGUAAUUAUAGGAGGUUUUCACUCCAUUGCAAUAAACAAUUCAUAGUUUACUAAUUGGCCCCCCUUAUUUGUUUAACAAUUUUGAUAUAAAUGAGCAUAUGUUCUAAUAUAUCUCGAAUAAGUCAGAAUCGAACCCGAAUAUUCAGGAUAACAGAGGAUGGAUUCUUCACUUAUACUAUUCAAUCGUGAUUUUACUAUUUGAAGGAGCACACAUUGUUGAUGUGAUCAGUGACAGUGUCAUGGCGUUUUGCGAUGGUGCUAAACCAAUUAUCACUAAAUCUAUAUUAAUGUUGUGAAUAUCAUAAUCCGAAAAAUGUCUUGAAUAUCAUUUAUUACCCUUAAUAUCACAAUCAUGAAAAAUAUCUCGAAUAUCAUUUAUUAACGCUACAUUGUGUAGCAUUUUAGAUAUUCAUAAAAAACCUCCAUCGUAUAACGUGACGCUAGUUUAUGUUGCGUUCAUGUAGCAUUUUGCUAGGAUUAAAACAACAAAACACUACUCGAUUUAGCGUCUUCUUUUCAAAUUGAAAAUACUAGAUUAUAUAAUGUUAAUAACCGAUAUUUAUAGUUAUUUUUUCGAAAUGUGUGACAUUGGGACGCGUUUUGUUAAUUUAAGACUUAUAAGUGAUUAAAGUGUAAGAAAAGAAGUAGAAGUCCUGAAACAAAAAUUAGCAUUAUCAACUUUUUACAAGUGUUUCUGGUUUUUUACACAAACGAGUCAAGAGGGGCUGAAACAAAAGUUAGUAUUCUCAACUUAUUACAAGUGCUUCUGACUUUUUACACAAACGACUUUAAAAAAAUAUAGUAGAAGUUGGUUUCUUCUGACUUUUUACACAAACGACUUUAAAAAAAUAGAGUAGAAGUUGGCUUCUUGGCAAAAAAGCCAGAAGUCUUGCUUUUGGGGUCAUUUCCAGCGAUACUAAUGAUACCAAAAGCGACCAAAUAGAUGUUUUUUUUUUUUUUUUUGAAACAGACCAAAUAGAUGUUUAUGCUUUAAUUUGUGCGCAUAAAAUGGACUAUUAUAUCCACAAAGAUUCAGCUAUUAACAAAUUGGCUCAUCAUUUUUCAAGUUUUUUGAGAAAUUUUUUUGGAUGCAUUGAUAUUUCUUUCACUUCUUCAAUACAUCAAUGACAAGUGUAGAAGAAUUGCCAACCUCAGCCUUUGUGAAUUACAACAAAAUUAAAAAGUAUCCCAAAAUAACCCUAUGACUAGAAACUAGAAAUAUUAUAAUAUUCAUAAAAGAAUAUUUUUUUGCUAAAUAUAAAAGAAAAUUUUCACAAAUACUAUUUCUACCUGUCUAAAAUAUGUUAUUUUCACAAAUUUAGGUAACAACUAGUGUAAGUAUACACUAAAUAGGCUCAGAUGAGAAUGAUGUGCACGAGGCAAAGAGGGUGCCACCGCCAUGGCUGCAACCGAGUUGCCCCGCCAAGACACGGCUCACUCACUCCAAUUCCCCGAGUCAACUCAGAAAAACCCACUUGACUCAUCAUCAUAGCCUUUGGGGCCGUUUGGAUAAACUUGUACAUAUUUCACCAUGCUGAUCUUCCUUUGCAUCGAGAUAUAAACAAUCUCGAUGAUUAGAGAUAUGUACAUACAGAUAACAGAAACACGCAGAGACACGCGAGGGUUGUUAAUUAUCAGAUGUGGAAUGAAAUCACAGGCUCAUCGAAUGACUGAAAAAUCAAUCGAUAUUGUACAGAGAGGGGUAACUACCCUCGACAACGCCGGCCUCUCUGAAACCUCUUUCGGGUUUUGUUUUUCUGAGUGUUUCUUCAUCCCAUGCCCUAAUUUUCCCCCCAAUCUCUGUUUUUAUAGUCUGUGUUUUUUGCUUUCGGUUCCCUGUUUGCCCUUAUUUUAAUACAAUCUCUGUCCCCCGAUUUUUUUUUUUUUUUUUGUCAUAAACACUUUUACGUGGAUGAAUUGUACCGAAAUACAAUAUCCGUAAAAACAGAAUUCUUUCAUUCAAGAAGUUUAUCAUUUAAUCGAAAUACAUGUAAAAAUGUCCCCG